UCGGACGUGGUGCAUGGUGCACACCCGCUCUUUAUAGUUCGAUAAAAUUGAGGAACUGCAUCUGAGGCGGGAGGCCUGGGUUCGACUCCCAGCAUCCGAA